rnacentral:lncRNA from 9 species
CUUCCUUGGCGGCGCCCUGGGGAGGCAGGUCCUGACUGGUCCUUGGCUUCAGGGACAGCUCGGUCCCUGAGUAGGUCCUGCAGAACAAGACCUGCUGCAGUCGGAGGAUGCCAGCCGGGAAAGGGAACUGCUUACCCUCUACUAGACCUACAAGCAUUCUGUGUGCUUGUCAAAUUUGAAGACAGGACCACAAACAUUCUGGUUUAAAAAUUUCAAGGAGGUUUAACAGUGCUGCCUCUAAAGACAGGUCCCUGAAGACCCUGUUCUCCUUCGUCAUGACACCAGCAAGUCCUCUGAGGUCAGGACACACUGGUGGAGAGCAUGCCACGAAGACCAUCGUCAUGGCCAAGUUGGGGGGGUCUGGGCUCCUUCAAACAAGAUAGCUAAACAACCCCAAGAGUCUGAAAUUUGGCUUUGGUGAAACUGGUAAGCAGCAAGUGCUGAAGCUGUAUUUAAAACACUUAGUAUCCCCAGGUUUGUUAGCACAGCUUUGCUGGUCUAAAGAGCUGGUGCUGCACUCAGAUGGAAUGUUAACACGCCCAUAAACGAGGUCUGUGUUUGCACAUGUCU